GCGAGGUGUUAGUAAAACGUUAUAUAACUUUGUCAAAGUUAAGUUACAAGUGAAAGCCCUGUACACCUCA
rnacentral:tRNA from 1 species